CCAUUGCUGCCAGACAGUAACGUCCCAGAGUUGCCCUUGAACCUGUCGCCUAGGAGGAUCGUUAAUUGUUCAGAAGAAUCCCAUGAGGUUCUGGACUUAACUUUAAGUACCCUGUGUGGAAGGUGUAGACACCUUAUAGUGACUAACCCGUUUUCUGGUUACCUUUGAAUGUUAUUGACUGUUGUUGUAACCUUGAUUCAGUGUGAUGUUGGCAUCAUCACAUGGGGAGUGUUAUGUUCAUCUCUGCCCCCAAAGUUACGUCUUUUGGUAUAGCGCCCUCUCGUGUUGCGCUAGUGCUCUUCGCCAAUAAGUUUUCUGUAGAAUUCGGUUUUCGUCAAACCACUCAGUAGAAAGUGCCUCUUUUUCACCUUGAAGGCCGUUUAUGACCUGUAGUUACCUUGAAGUCUAUCUAGUGGUUGAAGAUGACGAGAAGAGUAGUGUUUUGAGCAGAGGUUUAUAUUGUUGAGGACAUCUUGAGCCCGAAGAGAGAACAAUUCUGUAAGAGUAAUUUCAUGCUUGGGAAAUUGUUAUUUCUUUAAUUAAGUGGUUUUUUGGUGAUCUUUUUUAGUUAUUUGUUAUUCCGGAUGUUGUUAUUGUGCUAUUAAUCUUUAUUCAGUUUGUACUUAAAUAUAUUGCUCUGUACUUAUAGUUGUUGUACUUUCUGCAUUAAACUUUCAGUUUUACCGUUUUGUGGUACACUACACAUUGGUUAUCUGUUUGGAGUAGAGGGCGCCCCGGCUCCGCAAGUCCUUCACACCUUCUGAUAUGAUGAGGGAGCCGUUCCUCACAAUGUUUUCUAUCUUUGCUUAUUAUCAAGUUUUUAUGCUAACAAUAAUUGUGUUGAGUUAUUACCAAUAGCGUCCAAUGCCUUAAAUGAACCUCCUGUUCCAGCCAAUUAUUAUUAUUGACUAGCGGGUCUCACAAGAUUUCCGCGCUUUUUCAAUUUCACAAAGCACUAAGAUUGAUCUUAACUUUGUGUGACAGGUAUAAAGUAAUACCCCCACAAAACUAUUUUCGUUGCAUUCAAUUUCCUUUUGAAUGAAUAUUCAUAUCCUCGGGCGCCACCAACGGCGACCCCUCCGUCAUUAUUCUCUGCAUCGAAGACGAACGAACAUUAAAUAUUCUCUUCGUCUUCUUUUACAGGUAAAACAACAUUCCAUUCUUUUAUUUUACUUUGCUAUCACAUUUUAGAAUUAUAUUAAAUAGUACUCAACCAGUUUGUCUCUUUUCGUACCUAAACUUUACUUGACCGAGUUUGGUAAAAAUGUAUUAUUUCCGAUGUUUUACUAGUACCGUAUACAUCAUGGUGCUAUUUGAUUUUUGUAGAAGUGAAACGAAGGUUUAUGCUUUGUAAAUACUUGUUGCCUUUGAGUUACCAUUUCAUUGUUUAAAUAUCUAAAUCAAUUGAGGUUCAAAGAAACCAUAGAUUAGUUGUUCCUAAGGUUUAUUCUUUUCUAUACAAUUAAUUCGUUAGAAGGGUUCGGUCGCAAGAUGGCGACCGACCAGGAAAUUUGGCGGGAAAUACGGUCUUUGUUUCAGAGUUAAUGGGUUUUAUUUCCUUUGGAGCACAUUGUUUAUAAGUGUUGAUGUUCCUUUCUAGUACAAUUUAUACGUGAACACAAGGGAUAAGUCAUUCAAUUGUUCACGGUAUUUUCCUUUAAUAGAUUGGUUCAUUCCGUAAUAGUGUAGUUAUUUAAUUUGUAAAUAUUAUUGUGCUUUAAUUUAUUUUAUUAUUAUUAUCAAUUGUCAUUAUUCUCUGCGUCGAAGACGAACGAACAUUGAAUAUUCUCUUCGUCUUCUUUUACAGAAUAAACGUUAUAACUGCA